rnacentral:tRNA from 1 species
GUGUUUGUGGCUUAGUAGGUUAAAGCGCCGGUCUAGCGAAUACGGAGUUGUGGGUUCGAAUCCCACCAAAACG